rnacentral:rRNA from 1 species
CCUACGGGAGGCAGCAGUGGGGAAUAUUGGACAAUGGGGGGAACCCUGAUCCAGCCAUGCCGCGUGUGUGAAGAAGGCCCUCGGGUUGUAAAGCACUUUCAGUGAGGAAGAACGCCUGGUGGUUAAUACCCAUCAGGAAAGACAUCACUCACAGAAGAAGCACCGGCUAACUCCGUGCCAGCAGCCGCGGUAAUACGGAGGGUGCGAGCGUUAAUCGGAAUUACUGGGCGUAAAGCGCGCGUAGGUGGCUUGAUAAGCCGGUUGUGAAAGCCCCGGGCUCAACCUGGGAACGGCAUCCGGAACUGUCAAGCUAGAGUGCAGGAGAGGAAGGUAGAAUUCCCGGUGUAGCGGUGAGAUGCGUAGAGAUCGGGAGGAAUACCAGUGGCGAAGGCGGCCUUCUGGACUGACACUGACACUGAGGUGCGAAAGCGUGGGUAGCAAACAGGAUUAGAUACCCCGGUAGUC